rnacentral:rRNA from 1 species
GUGAUAACGAGUGGCGCACGGGUGCGUACGCGUAUGCAACCUACCCACUAAUUGGAACAUAACGUUGAGAAAAUCGGCGCUAAUAUUCCAUGUGAAUUUGAAGAGGCAUCUUUUUAAAUUUAAAGAUUUAUUGAUUAUGGAUGGGCAUGCGUAUCAUUAGCUAGUUGGCGAGGUAACGGCUCACCAAGGCAACGAUGAUUAGGGGUUCUGAGAGGAUAUCCCCCCACACUGGAACUGAGACACGGUCCAGACUCCUACGGGAGGCAGCAGUAGGGAAUAUUGGGCAAUGGAGGCAACUCUGACCCAGCCAUGACCGCGUGCAGGAAGACGGUCCUAUGGAUUGUGAACUGCUUUUAUCAUAGAGUAACCACGGGGACGUGUACCCGUCUGCAAGUAUAUGAUGAAUAAGCAUCGGCUAACUCCGUGCCAGCAGCCG